ACCUCAGCUUAUCCUUUCACUUGAGGAGGUGAACGUCAUAUUUAGCAAAGGCUGACAAAUGGAACAGCAAUACUCCAUGAACUCCUUUCUUCUUCUUUUUUUUUUUUUUUCCUCCUCUUUUGUAUGGUACAGUAUCCUUGAAUUUCAUUCUGAUGUUAAUUUUUUUCUUUAUGAAUACUGAAAUGGCACUGCCACCCUUGCACUCUUUGUAUACACCCUGUCACUACUAAUAAGGCACAUCUGGAAGUAUCACGGUGUUCCAGCAGAAU
rnacentral:lncRNA from 1 species